rnacentral:misc_RNA from 1 species
GAAACUCUAAUCUUGCUCAAAAGGCAUUGAAGCUUUUCAAGUGAAAUGAUAGAAAUUUGAAAAUAGCAGUAAAUUGCCUAAAAGGAUGUAAGUUGUGGAAUAUGCACAAAUAAUGUACCAUGAGACAUGGCUAUAUAUGAUGCAAACCAAUACAGGGGAGGACUAGUAGACAAGAAACGUGUGGCAACCUGCACAUGCAUGACAAGAAACGCAGUGGUUGUCAUGAAUCCCAAGUGCAAAGGGCAUGGAAUGAUAAAGUCACGAAAGCAUUCUAGUUUUUGGAAUAAAUCAUGUUCUUUUCAGAGCACAGGAUAAUGAUCAUCCCCUUUAAUCAUUCGUUUCCUUUUACCUAAGAUUAUGAUUUGCUUGCACUUUAGUAGAUAAUUUCUCCUUUGAGGGAGUAAUGUUUUGUCUUGGAACUGUAUCUAGAGAAGAAAA